rnacentral:lncRNA from 1 species
CCAAUAUGAAUUGUUCCUCUGUUUGAACAUAAACAAUUUGACAUGACCAUGUUUAAUAUGAAUUACAAAACUGAACAACAGAAAGAGGAUUGUAGAGUUAUAAAAGGAGGGAAAGUGCAUAAGGAAAGAGUUACAGAUACAUAAUGAACACUAUAAUAUGUAAUAAAACUACCAAUUCAUGUUUCUGACAUAAUUCUUAGAGGAUAGGUGUCACAACACUUAUUUUUUCUUGUGUGGUAUAUAAUAGUACUAUUUCCUAGUAUGUACAAAGUUUAUUCUGGGACAAUAGUAAAACUUUUGACCAUACUUACCAAUGAUAUGUAUAACAACCAUAUUUCAGUGUUAUUGACCUGGAAGCUGUCUGGUUCCAGCUAUGUCAAAACCCUUACAAAGGUCUAAAAUUGAUUAAAACAAUCAUGGUCUUUGACGGGUAAAAGAUGUCAGAAGACCAUUAUCAUCUUAUAAAUUCUUAUUCCUAUUUCAAUUUCAGAAUGUUCUUAAAAUCUUAAUAUAUACAUAUAAAUAAAAAAAUAUCUAUAAAAUUUAUGACAUGUCUAAAGGUAUAAAUAUAUAUUAGACCAAAUUUAAAAUCAAGGAGACUAGCUUAUUCACAUCAAUGCUUUAAUGCAUCCACUUUUAAAUUUAAGAUGUUUGAGCUUUAUCAGUUUGCUAGUAUAUAUAUCAACAACCAUAUUAAAGAUUAUUUCUACAAGUUAAAUAUAUCUCAUUGUCAUGAUUGUGUAAUGUUCUCUUUUUUACAGCUCAUUUCAAAUAUUCUAAAAAAAAAAGAUUUAACUAAUUUCAAAGUAGACAUAUAAAAACUGUUUUAAAUCAAAUGUUCAUAUUCAUAAUUAUUAA